GAGGCCCCUCAGCCUGUUCAUCUGCUCCUGCUCCUUGAGGAUGAUGAAGGGCCUUCCAUAUUCAUCGAAGGCAAGCGCCAUGCUUACUGUCAAAUCAAUGAAAGAGAGACAACUUCAUCAAAUAUUUCAGUAUGAAAGUAAAGCGAAAUGAAGUGACAGAGAUAGAGAUAGAGAGAGAGGAUCUGAUUUGCAGGGAAAGCCUGAAAGAAUAAUAAUAAGAAGAAGAAGAACGAGAGAGGGAAAUGAAACUUUUACAUACGGAGCGAGAACGUGCUGAAAAAUGGACUUUUUAGAGAGAGAGAGAUUAAGACCGUGCCUGAAGAGUUAAAGAGUAGAGAGAAGAAGAAGAGCAAGACGAAGUUUUGAACAUUUGAAGCCCUAGAUUUGUGCUUUGCAUUAUAGGCAGAGCUCCCGCCUGCAAAAGCUUCCUUUUUGGAAAUGACGAAAUUGUCC
rnacentral:lncRNA from 1 species